ensembl:lncRNA
AUCGCACAUCUGGCUUCAGCCAAUCAGGAUAUUUCUGCUGAUGAUUUUGCACCAUGAUAAGCAAGCCUGGACAUGUUUGAGAACAUGAUGUCAAAUAUAGGUAUGUAUCUCACUUUCAGUCGCACUUUCUCACUCUCUUCUCCCUCAUUUCCUUCAGCUCUCUCUCUCUCCUCGUGUCCUCUGUGUGAUGUAAUGUAAAGCAGAAAUGGUGUCGACUCUUUGACCUUGCCUUAAAUCUUCAGACUGAGAACGAGAGAGGCCUGUUUGUUCUGACUGACAUCAUGUCUUAACCCCAGAUGGCUCCACUUCAACCAAGUUCCUCCUCACGCACCUCCUGAGGAGCAACACACACACAGUGCCGCAGUCUUUGUCUGACUGCUGUGAAAGUCCGAUGGCUCAGGAAUACUAAUCCCACUCGCAUGUCAUUUGGACGGACCAGAGGAGCAGCUAAUGGGGCAGGCGAGAUGAGGAGGAGACACUGUCGAUGGCUGUGUGGCAGUGUGUGUGAGUGGCGGAGUCCUCCCAGCCACAGAGAUAAAGAUUAGCAAAGGCCGAGCUGAACACAGAGGUCCAUUUACUGCACAUGGCACUGCACAUCAUCCCGCUACUGCUGCCAGUGAAAAACAGGCCUUCCACUUUGGGCAGAGUGAGACCUCAAUGGCACGAUCAGGGGAUGGAGAGUGGAAGUGUGAUGAGAGAGGAGGAGUAAGAGAGAAAGAUAAAUGGGCUUAAUGGACUAUCAUGAAUGCAGUGGGCGGAGUCAUGCCAGUGUCACUCAUUCCACCCCCUCUGAAUGAUCUCUGACCUGUCCUUGACUGGAAUUGAAUCCCUGCUCUGGUAGGUGAUGAUUCUUGCACCAACCACAAA